rnacentral:rRNA from 1 species
GACGAACGCUGGCGGCGUGCCUAAUACAUGCAAGUCGAACGCUUCUUUCCUCCCGAGUGCUUGCACUCAAUUGGAAAGAGGAGUGGCGGACGGGUGAGUAACACGUGGGUAACCUACCCAUCAGAGGGGGAUAACACUUGGAAACAGGUGCUAAUACCGCAUAACAGUUUAUGCCGCAUGGCAUAAGAGUGAAAGGCGCUUUCGGGUGUCGCUGAUGGCUGGACCCGCGGUGCAUUAGCUAGUUGGUGAGGUAACGGCUCACCAAGGCCACGAUGCAUAGCCGACCUGAGAGGGUGAUCGGCCACACUGGGACUGAGACACGGCCCAGACUCCUACGGGAGGCAGCAGUAGGGAAUCUUCGGCAAUGGACGAAAGUCUGACCGAGCAACGCCGCGUGAGUGAAGAAGGUUUUCGGAUCGUAAAACUCUGUUGUUAGAGAAGAACAAGGACGUUAGUAACUGAACGUCCCCUGACGGUAUCUAACCAGAAAGCCACGGCUAACUACGUG